AAAAGGGGAAAAACGCUGAAAAUUUUUUGGGGGAAAAGAAGCGGAGAAACCCUAUAGUUGAAAAGUCACCCUCUAUUGUUCUUACACUUCUCCUUUCUCUUAAUCUCUCUAAACCUGAAAAUUCCUCACUCUUCUCCUUCUCUUGCUUCUUUCUUCUUUAUGGAUUUACGUUGCACAUUCUCCACUGUCGCCCCACUGAGAAGCCAUGGAUCGCAAGAGAGAUAAACCUUAUGCUUCCUCCCCCUUCCUACCUCUAUCGCUAAGAGGCGAAACCUUCCACUGUCGGCACCGUCGCCUACGGAGGACGAAGAUAUAGACAAACCCUUUUUAAAGCCUACGCCAUCGCUUGCCCUAGUUUUCGUUGACCUACCUUCACAUUGUUUGGUGCUUGACUCGAAGUUCAAUUUGAGAACUAUGGAUCCAUCGCCCACAUCCGAAUCAACUGUGAAUGUAUUGGCUAUAUGUCUUAUCGCACUAAAGACUUCGUUGAUGCUGCCAUGGUCCGCCCUUGAUCCCUUGUUCGCCUUCCAAGAAGAAAUGGUGGAAAUGAUGAUGAACAUCGUAAAGUUGGAUGUAGAACUUGUUGUGGAGGAGAGGAAUCUAAAUUCUAUGAGAUAUAAGAACAAUAUUAAGGCAAGAAAAGACUCAUGUACAAAACAAUCAAUUCUAUCUUCUUUUUUUUUUGCCAUUGGAGUUUCUUCCUUUUCUCCAUUUUUGCUCUCACAUUCUCGUCUUUGCAACUGAGAGAGGUUAUGCCUGAAAACAAGAGUAGUUAGCUGAUUCCUUCAAUUGACUCUUCCAUUUUUAUUCUCUUCUUCAUUUUCUUCACUUCCCAAGGUACCAUCCUCUUUCAAUCUUCUUUUGUUUAGAUCUAGUAUUAUGUUUUCAAUUUAGAUUUGGAUUUGUUUUUGUUUC